GGGGGCGAAACGGCUUCGACGGGGAUAAGGAAGCUAAGGUUGCAUAUCGAGCUCCUGUCAGCUCGUAAAAAUGGCGGGGAUUUAAAAUAAUCGCAAAUGAUUAUAACUACGCUUUAGCCGCUUAGACGGCUAACGUCCUGUCGGAUUAUUCCUGCGUAUCCGAUAAGGGCGCCGAUUAGCAGGAUAGCCGUCCGGAUUGCCUGUUAAAGGAUUGGCGAAAUUUUACAGGAUAGUCUUUCAAGUAGCCUGCCUAAGGGGGACUUGAAAAGGCGAAAGCUAAAGCUUGGGCUAAAUAUGUAGAUACCUUUGUGGAAUAUUACCGGACGCGGGUUCGACUCCCGCCGCCUCCACCA
rnacentral:tmRNA from 1 species